rnacentral:lncRNA from 1 species
AGAUAGGAUCGACGAUGGCAAGGUAGGGAAGCUGAUGCCAGGCGGCGGAAGAUGCAAGGAGGGAGGGGAAGAAAACGAAAAAGUUGUUGAGGAGGUGAGACUGGGAGACAGUGAAGAAUGAGAGAGAGAGAGAGAGAGAGAGAGAGAGAGAGAGGGAAGGAGAAGGGAGAGGGUAAGAGAGAGUCAAGAGUAGGUGAGGGAAAGAUGUAAAUUGUAUGUAAAGAUAAAUGGGAGGAAAAUGUUUUAAGUGCUCGUCGGUACGUGCCGUAUCUACCGUGCCAUACCGUACCAACAAGAUACCGGCACGAUACAGACUCCGUGCCGAUGGCACAGCUCAAAACCCUUUAUUCUUUAAAUUAGUAAGUAAUUUUCUUAAUAAAGUUCGAAAGAUGUGAUAAAAAGACAUAAUAAAUAGUUAGAAUAUUUUGUUGUUAAAGAGAAUAAAUAUUUCAUGCUAUUAUGUGUCGGCACACACAAAAUUUUUUGACCGGUACACAUCUGCACGCAUCGUGCCGUAUUGUGCCGGCAAGUUUGUCACGGCACUUAAAUUCUUGGGAGAAAGCAUGCGGCGGGUCCCAUAUAUGCUUUGCAAGUAUCUUCCAACACUAUAGUAGGCCCCACAUAGAGUGAAAUGCG